ensembl:lncRNA
AGCCCUCUCUGAGCUCAGGGCCUUAGCUGGCACUGCAAUCCCUGGUUUACACAAGAAGAAACUGAAGCUGAGGCCUUUUCCAAGCCCGUCAGCCUCCCGGUACCAUCCAGCACCUUGAUAGUCAAUCAGAGAGACCUGACGGAAGCAUGGCCCCUGGACAUUCUCGGGUUUCAUUUAUCAACUUGUCAACCUCAUGGAAACGGACCAUCUGAUGGUCUUUUGCCGGACCUCUGAUGGGUUCCGCAAAAGCCUGGGUAUGUUUCCCAUCGAGCUGCCCAGUUUGGGUCACGUGACAUCUGAACCAAUCUCUGUGGUUGAGGCUACUGCACUCUGCUUGGACAGCCUGAUUAAACGACUGCUCAUAUAGCCCUACUGCCACCUCUGCUUAAGACCAUCAUCAUCUUAUCCGGAUGACGGCAGUGGCUUCCUAACUGCCCUUUUACAAUCCAGGUUGAUCUUUUCAGGACUCAAAUGUUUUAAGUACAUGUUUUAAAUCAUGUACUUACUACCCAGUGCAUUCAGGAUAAAAUGCCAGCUCUAAAACCCUGGUAUACAGAGCUUUGCCUUUCAUACAAAGCUCCCUCACGUGGCCUGGGAACUGCUCCUCUUGCUCUCACUGCCUCCCCAGGUACCACACUGAUAAUACUGUAAGGUCUGUUUCCUUGCCUGACUUUCUCCAGAAGCUGGAGCUCUUUAAGAGCAAGGAUGUAGCAUGGCUCACUCAACACCCAUACCAAACCCUUCCUAGCUAGACUUCCUUACAGCUGGUGGUGUAGGAAAUGUGAUCUAAGUUCCAUCAAGCAAGUAUACCCAUAGGAGACCUCCACAGAAGCCAACAAUGAAGAUGGAAUCUUCUGGCAACCUUGGUGGUGACAGUGGUUCUUCCGAAGUCUUUAGGCUCCAGCCUCUAGCACAGGUGGAUGUAUGAUUGUGUUUCCACCAGGACAUUGCCUUGAUGUCUUUGGCCAUUUUUCUUAAUCUGCGUUGUUCCCAGCUGCAUUGCUGUUGCUGUAGAGACACCAAGCCUGGCCCCGACCCUUCCCAAGAUUCUGUUAAGCUGCAAGUGACAGAACUCAUGUUCAAAGUGAGCUCCCUCUACCAUGCCAAAGGGUUUAGGCUUUGUCUUCAAAUAAAGAACCCAGGAAGGUUGGACAGUAGUAUGAUUCGAAGGUUGUGGUCAAAGGGUUGGAGAAAGCGAGCUUGACUGGAAGGACCCAUGAGGAGGCCAGAGGAGAGAUGCUCGCAGCCUGACAGGUCAGGGGCAGUGAGAAGGGAGAGGAUUGGCUGUAUCUGAGAAAUGUUUUAGAG